AGAGUUUGAUCAUGGCUCAGGAUGAACGCUGGCGGCGCAUUUAAGACAUGCAAGUCGAACGAAAAUUUAUGCUUAAAGAGUUGAUUAGUUUACUAAGAGACAAUUUAUUAUAAAUUUUAGUGGCGGACUGGUGAGUAAUACAUAGGUAAUCUGCCUUUUAGAGGGGAAUAACUAGAAGAAAUUCUAGCUAAUACCGCGUAAGACCACACUUGGGCAUCCAAGAGAGGUCAAAGGAGAAAUCCGCUAAAAGAUGAGCCUGUGGCUGAUUAGUUAGUUGGUGGGGUAAGAGCCUACCAAGACGAUGAUCAGUAGCCGAGCUGAGAGGCUGGCCGGCCACAUUGGGACUGAGAUACGGCCCAGACUCCUACGGGAGGCAGCAGUUGGGAAUAUUGGACAAUGGAGGAAACUCUGAUCCAGUGACGCCGCGUGAAGGAAGAAGGUCUUCGGAUUGUAAACUUAUUUUAUCAGGGAAGAAGAAAGUGACAGUACCUGAAGAAAAAGGACCGGCAAACUACGUGCCAGCAGCCGCGGUAAUACGUAGGGUCCAAGCGUUAUCCGGAUUUACUGGGUGUAAAGGGCGAGUAGACGGCGCUGUAAGUCAGUUGUGAAAACUUAGGGCUCAACCUUAAGCCUGCAGCUGAAACUGUGGUGCUAGAGUGCAGGAGAGGUAAGCGGAAUUCCUAGUGUAGCGGUGAAAUGCGUAGAUAUUAGGAGGAACACCAGUGGCGAAGGCGGCUUACUGGACUGUAACUGACGUUGAGGCGCGAAAGUGUGGGGAGCAAACAGGAUUAGAUACCCUGGUAGUCCACACCGUAAACGAUGGAUACUAGGUGUAGGUGAGAUAUCGUCUGUGCCGGCGCAAACGCAAUAAGUAUCCCACCUGGGGAGUACGGCCGCAAGGUUGAAACUCAAAGGAAUUGACGGGGGCCCGCACAAGCAGUGGAGUAUGUGGUUUAAUUCGACGCAACGCGAAGAACCUUACCAAGACUUGACAUAUACAGGAAAGGCUAAGAGAUUAGUCCCCUCUUCGGAGCCUGUAUACAGGUGAUGCAUGGUUGUCGUCAGCUCGUGUCGUGAGAUGUUAGGUUAAGUCCUGCAACGAGCGCAACCCUCGUGAUUAGUUGCCAGAGAAUGGAACUCUAAUCAGACUGCCGUAGUUAAUACGGAGGAAGGUGAGGAUGAUGUCAAAUCAUCACGUCCCUUAUGUCUUGGGCUACACACGUACUACAAUGGGUGUUACAGAAAGAAGCGAAACCGCGAGGUGGAGCAAAACUCAGAAAAGCACCCCUAGUUCGGAUUGGAGGCUGCAACCCGCCUCCAUGAAGCUGGAAUUGCUAGUAAUCACAGGUCAGCAUACUGUGGUGAAUACGUUCCCGGGCCUUGUACACACCGCCCGUCACACCAUGAGAGUUGAGAAUACCCGAAGCCCAUGUAACAGUGGUCGAAGGUAGGCUUGAUGAUUGGGGUGAAGUCGUAACAAGGUAGCCGUAUCGGAAGGUGCGGCUGGAUCACCUCCUU
rnacentral:rRNA from 1 species